rnacentral:misc_RNA from 1 species
UUUCUUAAAAUUUACAUAAUCAAUUUUUUCCUGUUAUUUCUAGACGUCUCAGACUCUGCUUAAUUCUAAGGCAGUCAGACAGAGGGAUUUGGACUUUGGAUUCUUCAAGGAUCUUUCCAUGCAAGCCGUUUUUAGUCUUCCUUGUUUGGUGUUCCUUCUUCAAGUUUUUUCCUUCUAGCCAGUCACAUUUUAGAAAGUUAUAUGGUUUGCUCUUAAAGCUAAAUAAGGAUAAUACUAAUAAUAUUUUGUAGAUAUGGAGAUCUAACAAUUUUUUUGGGGAUGCAUUUCAUAUGCUUUAAUAGUUGUGGGGUCCAUGACUUCUUUUUAACAUUGUUCUAUUGCUUGAAAUAUUUAGAAUUUUUUUUCUUUUGGUAUAUUCUGCAAUCAUGGGCUUUGACUGCAAAAUUUGGAUCAUUGUUCCCUUGCUUUUGAAGUUUUGGGAGGAAAAGAGGGAAAAUGGCUUGAAGAGAGAUGCUAUGGGUGCUUUUGUUUGGUAUUUUCUGGUAGAGAAAAUUGCAAGUAUUUUGCAGUUCAUUAUUAGCCAUUGAGUUGCAUUUGCAUUAAACUGUUUCUUAGACAUCAUUAUGGUGUUCUGCUUCCAGUCGUUUACAGGGCUUUUCUGUACUCAUCGUACUGAAAUUUAAAGGUGG